UCUCCGGAACCUGACCAUCUCUCAGCAACUCGAUGGCCCUAGUGGACCCAGUCACCAUCGCCUCUCACCUGGCUUAGGCGACAGGCUUCUCACCGGUCUCCCUGCUUCCUUCCAACCCUUGGUGGAACUGGAGAAUAAUUCUCUCUAACUCACUUACCACGUGCUGCCAAGAUGCUCAGUGUGGUUUGCCAAAUGAGUGAAACCAAGCACUUCCCCUUCCUGGAGACGGAGGGGCAUCCAACACCGACCUCAUAUUGGCUUCCCUCAAAGGACAACCCCUCACAUCAUGAACAGACAGCAAAAUUGCUUCUGACAGGCCUCUCAGGCUGCUCCCCGGCGGGGAAGAGGCAGAUGAAUCCGGCGAUUGCUAUCAAGAGGUUGAUGGUCUUACUUCAGCCAGAUCCGGAAGAACCUACAGUCUCCCCGGUGACAGCCUCAAUCCCGCAGAACAUGGAGUCCAUCUACGGCCCUGGAGACCUUCAAACCACUGUACUCACAGUCAGUU